rnacentral:rRNA from 1 species
UACGGGGGGCGAAGCGUUGUUCGGAAUUACUUGGCGUAAAGGCUCGUAGGCGGCCAACUAAGUCAGACGUGAAAUCCCUCGGCUUAACCGGGAACUGCGUCUGAUACUGGAUGGCUUGAGUUUGGGAGAGGGAUGCGGAAUUCCAGGUGUAGCGGUGAAAUGCGUAGAUAUCUGGAGGAACACCGGUGGCGAAGGCGGCAUCCUGGACCAACACUGACGCUGAGUGAGCGAAAGCCAGGGAGCAAAGCGGG